AGAGUUUGAUCAUGGCUCAGGAUGAACGCUAGCUACAGGCUUAACACAUGCAAGUCGAGGGGCAGCAUGUUGGUUGCUUGCAACCAACGAUGGCGACCGGCGCACGGGUGAGUAACGCGUAUCCAACCUACCCUUGUCCAUCGGAUAACCCGUCGAAAGGCGGCCUAACACGAUAUGCGGUUCACAGCAGGCAUCUAACGUGAACGAAAUGUGAAGGAGAAGGAUGGGGAUGCGUCUGAUUAGCUUGUUGGCGGGGUAACGCCACCAAGGCUACGAUCAGUAGGGUUCUGAGAGGAAGGUCCCCCANAUUGGAACUGAGACACGGUCCAAACUCCGUACGGAGGCA
rnacentral:rRNA from 1 species